GAUGAACGCUGGCGGCGUGCCUAACACAUGCAAGUCGAACGGAAAGGCCCUGCUUUUGUGGGGUGCUCGAUUGGCGAACGGGUGAGUAACACGUGAGUAUCCUGCCCUUGACUUUGGGAUAACAUCAGGAAACUGGGGCUAAUACCGGAUAGGAUCUCCUGCUCCAUGGUGGGCGUUGGAAAGUUUCGGCGUUUGGGGAUGGACUUGGGGCUUAGCAGCUUGUUGGUGGGGUUGUGAACUACCAAGGCUUUCAGGGGUAGCCGACCUGAGAGGGUGAUCGGCGACAUGGGAGGUGAGCCGGCGACCAGGGGACUGAGGGAGGGAGCAGAAGGCAACGGGAGGCAGCAGGGGGAAGCAUGGCAGAGUGAGCGGACGUGUGAGGCGGCGGCGCCGGGUGCGGGAAGACGGGUUUUGGGGUAUAAACCGCUUUGGACGGAGACGAAGCGUGAGUGACGGUACCGGGUAAAGAAGCACCGGCUAACUACGUG
rnacentral:rRNA from 1 species